CGAAGGGGCGUCUCGAACGAUGGGCGACAACGACGAGGGGGAAGUUAGCAGUGCCAUGGCGGCCCCUUGGCUUGGCUCAAAGAACGGCACAUCCUCCUCUUCCCACGGUCACUGACGAAAAGACCCGACAGGAGGAAGGAGGAGCUCUCUCCCUCAUGAAAUGCUUCCUGCUAGUGCGAUUUUGUCAAGGUGAAAGUGUGGCUCCGGGGCAAUGCGGAUCGCUAAUACGUUUUCUCCAAAUUUCUUCUUUGAAGAUGUCUUAACUCAUCCGACCUUCUGGUGAAGAUUAAUAAACGCAGUAGGUAUGAUGUUUCAUUUGACUUGCUAUUCUACAUUCUGUUAUAUACUUAAUUUGCUGUUUGGUUCUACUGGUUGCACUUUCAUGAUAAAGAACUUUAUGUUUUGUACUGUAUGUUAGUCCUUUUGGUCCUAAUAACUUAUUUUCAAAACAAUUGUUAGGUGGAACAGCCUCUAACAAGUAACCACGCUUAUAAAAUUCUGUCAAGAACCAAAUCCAAAUAGAAGCUGGUGUCUGUAGGUCUGACUGAGAUU